rnacentral:rRNA from 1 species
UACGGAGGGUGCAAGCGUUGUUCGGAAUUACUGGGCGUAAAGCGCACGUAGGCGGCUUUGUAAGUUAGAGGUGAAAGCCCAGGGCUUAACCCUGGAAUUGCCUUUAAGACUGCAUCGCUAGAAUCGUGGAGAGGUGAGUGGAAUUCCGAGUGUAGAGGUGAAAUUCGUAGAUAUUCGGAAGAACACCAGUGGCGAAGGCGACUCACUGGACACGUAUUGACGCUGAGGUGCGAAAGCGUGGGGAGCAAACAGG